UACGAAGGGGGCUAGCGUUGUUCGGAAUUACUGGGCGUAAAGCGCGCGCAGGCGGUCCUCCAAGUCAGUGGUGAAAGCCCGGAGCUCAACUCCGGAACUGCCAUUGAAACUGUGGGACUUGAGUAUGAGAGAGGUGAGUGGAAUUCCCGAGUGUAGAGGUGAAAUUCGUAGAUAUUGGGAAGAACACCGGUGGCGAAGGCGGCUACACUGGCUCAGUUACUGACGCUCAGGCGCGACAGCGUGGGGAGUCAAACAGG
rnacentral:rRNA from 1 species